CUGAUUUUAGAAUCAAAGGGUUUGCAGAGUAUACGCCCAAUAUCAGUAUUAGUAGGUCUAAUGUGUUGCGAAAUGAUAUCGACAGCUGAAUGUUUUGUUUCGUUUCGCUCAUAUCGCUUUCUCACAGAGGGACAGUAGUUCAACUAUUCUCUGAAAAUGUUUGCCUCCGCGUUUAUUCUCUCAUUACUGAUAGCACUGCAGCUUUCUUCUUCUUUGGGGCCUGGAGCCCAGAUCAUGCUAUCAGUGGCCGGAGGAUUGAUUGGCCUCUUUUUUCUGACAGCACUGGGUGUGCGUGCAGCACAAGCUAUAACACAGCGCAACCCCAGACAUCAAUAAAGUGUGUAUACCUGCA